UACGAAGGGGGCAAGCGUUGUUCGGAAUUACUGGGCGUAAAGCGCGCGUAGGCGGCUUUGCAAGUCGGGUGUGAAAUCCCCAGGCUUAACCUGGGAACUGCAUUCGAGACUGCAUUGCUAGAGUAUGGGAGAGGGAAGUGGAAUUUCCGGUGUAGCGGUGAAAUGCGUAGAUAUCGGAAGGAACAUCAGUGGCGAAAGCGACUUCCUGGACCAAUACUGACGCUCAUGUGCGAAAGCGUGGGGAGCAAACAGG
rnacentral:rRNA from 1 species